GAUUGAAGAUUUGUCGCACUCCACGGACUCCAGGUCCAUGCCAGUCUGAUUGUCUGAUUCUGGUCUGCUUUUUCUUUUGAGUACCACUGUAGUAGACUUCAACGGAAUAUUUAUGCAGCUAGAGAGAACCAUAACGAGUUCAGGUCGAGCAUCCAACAUGACACUCUCAUCUCGCCUGGUUGCCGGCGUUCUCCUGGUCCUGGCAUUAGCUCUGGUCUCUUCCAGUUCCAGCGCAGAGGAGAGGAGCACCGGGCGCGCUGCCAGUGCCUCGGACCAUGAUCAGACGUCGGAAGCUACGGUGCCCCUGUUGAGGCCUCUUGGCUUGAGGACACCGGUGGCAGCUCCGCCCCCGCCGAGGUCGGCAACUCCACGGGCGAGUAUAAGGCCGUAUCAUCGGCCGUCACCGCCGCCGCCAUGGUCGUAGCUGUAGGCUGUACCCUCUAGGGCCUCUAGGUCUAGAGAUACGUGAGAGAAAAUGGUUUCUUGGCGUUGGUGUCCCAUUUCCUGUAAGCCUGGUGUAGUGUUCUUCAGUUUUCAACCAACUGUGUAACUGUGUAAGCUCUAUCUGUCAUGGAUUCAGUCAGGUAUUUGGGCGCUUUCAGCACCAAACACCACCGUUUGCUGAUUAAUAUUUUCCUUCUUGUCUGCUCAACAUUUCUGUGCCAUUCUUUUCGUUGGAUGUCCUGGAAUUUCUUGUAUGUUUCCAAGA
rnacentral:lncRNA from 1 species